rnacentral:rRNA from 1 species
UGCCAGCUGCCGCGGUAAUACGGAAGGUGCAAGCGUUAUCCGGAAUCACUGGGUUUAAAGGGUGCGUAGGCGGCUCGAUUAGUCAGAAGUGAAAGCUCACGGCUUAACUGUGGAAUUGCUUUUGAUACUGUCGGGCUUGAAUCAGGUUGAGGUUGGCGGAAUGUGACAUGUAGCGGUGAAAUGCAUAGAUAUGUCAUAGAACAUCGAUUGCGAAGGCAGCUGGCUAGACCUUGAUUGACGCUGAGGCACGAAAGCGUGGGGAGCGAACAGGAUUAGAUA